CAGAAAGGCUCCUUGGUACUACGAGAAAGGCACAGAUAAUCUACCAAGUCAUGAUAGACUCCAAUUUAUUGAACAUAUUUUCUUCGAACCUCUGUUACCAAGGCCUCAGAUUAAAAAAAAAUUAAUAUUUAUAUGGAGAAGAAAUGGUAUUUUUCAGAAUGUGCUGGUCUGGAAACUAUACUAAUGCAUAAAGUGCCCUGAAGUGGACAGAAUGUUUCUUCCAUAAGAAAACAGCACAAGACAUCUGGCA